ACGCCGGAGCCUGGUUAAGAGGGAAAUUCCCCUUCCCCCUCUUAACGAGACUAACGGUGUUUACUGUUUUGCAGAUUGCAAGCCAUCCGAUACGAGCGAGAGAAGAGGUUGAACCCCAUAAGUGAAACAACCCUCUUGGUUAUCCUUGUGUUAACCAUUGUUUCAACAUGGACAAACACAGAGGAGGCGAUCGCCAUGAAAACAGUCCUAAAACUUUCACCCUUACAGACGCUCUAGAGCCAGAAAUUCACGUUCUGAACACAAUAAUCCGUAUUCAGAGUUUUUGGUGCCUCUUUUGGGAGAUCCUAUAGAUGCUAAGGAAAAACAAUCUAAAGGAGGCGGUUUUGUGAAACUUUUUGUUAGUUCAGUUCCUAAGACAGCCACCAAAGAGGAUAUCCGGUUUGCGUUUCAAGAGCAUGGACAUGUUAUUGAGGUUGCUUUGAUCAACGACACGAGAAUAGGGCAGCGACAAGGUAUGUGCAAGUACAUAGGGUAUUUCGUUAAUUUAACACAUGUGAAUAUGUCUUUUCAGGUCCUUUGAAGGGACAGAGGGAACAUAUGUUGUUAGUUUUUUCGGCAUUUUCAGGCCUUUUCUUUUGGAUUGCAAGAUCCUAUCUGUCUAAGAAGAAGAAGAAGAUAAAACGAUACCGUUAUAGCUCAUUCAUGGAGAUGUCAUAUUAGCAGCUCAAGCUCUUUAUGUAGAUAUAGUUUUGGGAUUUUUUUAAAGCUUGGUUUCUAGUGUUGAGAUUUGAGACAUGUAGAAGGUAUCAUUUGAUGUACCGAUAAGUAGGUUAUUUUUAGCGUGUGAUUAGUAACAAUGUUGUAAGUUGUAACUUUGAGGAUUUCUAUUGUUUCUUUUGUUGUUAGUAA